rnacentral:rRNA from 1 species
AUUGAACGCUGGCGGCAUGCCUUACACAUGCAAGUCGAACGGCAGCGCGGACUUCGGUCUGGCGGCGAGUGGCGAACGGGUGAGUAAUGUAUCGGAACGUACCAUUCAGUGGGGGAUAACGCAGCGAAAGUUGCGCUAAUACCGCAUAUUCUGUGCGCAGGAAAGCAGGGGAUCGCAAGACCCUGCGCUGAUUGAGCGGCCGAUAUCAGAUUAGCUAGUUGGUGAGGUAAAGGCUCACCAAGGCGACGAUCUGUAGCGGGUCUGAGAGGAUGAUCCGCCACACUGGGACUGAGACACGGCCCAGACUCCUACGGGAGGCAGCAGUGGGGAAUUUUGGACAAUGGGCGAAAGCCUGAUCCAGCCAUGCCGCGUGUCUGAAGAAGGCCUUC